rnacentral:rRNA from 1 species
GACGAACGCUGGCGGCGUGCCUAAUACAUGCAAGUCGAACGCACAGUUUAUACCUUAGCUUGCUCCACCAUACACUGUGAGUUGCGAACGGGUGAGUAACGCGUAGGUAACCUGCCUGGGAGCGGGGGAUAACUAUUGGAAACGAUAGCUAAUACCGCAUAAUAUUGAUUAUUGCAUGAUAAUUGAUUGAAAGUUGCUAUUGCAUCACUACCAGAUGGACCUGCGUUGUAUUAGCUAGUAGGUGAGGUAACGGCCCACCUAGGCGACGAUACAUAGCCGACCGGGGAGGGUGAUCGGCCACACUGGGAUGGGGACACGGCCCAGACCCCUACGGGAGGCAGCCGUAGGGGAUCUUCGGCAAAAGACGCAAGUCUGACCGAGGAACGCCGGGUGAGUGAAGAAGGGUGUCGGAUCGUAAAGCUCGGUUGUAAGAGAAGAACGGGUGGGAGAGUGGAAAGUUCACAUUGUGACGGUACCUUAACAGAAAGGUACGGCUAACUACGUG